AUUGAACGCUGGCGGCGUGCCUAACACAUGCAAGUCGAGCGGUAACAGGUGUAGCAAUACAUGCUGACGAGCGGCGGACGGGUGAGUAACGCUUGGGAAUCUGCCUAUUAGUGGGGGACAACCCGGGGAAACUCGGGCUAAUACCGCAUACGAUCACGGGGCUUCGGUCCUGUGCUGAAAGGUGGCCUCUUCUUGAAAGCUACUACUUCCAGAGGGACCCGCGCCUGAUUAGCUAGUUGGUAGGGUAACGGCCUACCAAGGCGACGAUCAGUAGCCGGCCUGAGAGGGUGAUCGGCCACACUGGAACUGAGCACGGUCCAGACUCCUACGGGGAGGCAGCAGUGA
rnacentral:rRNA from 1 species